UUCAGCCCGGGCAGUGUCACGCUCCCAUCAGCGUGCAGAGCACAUUCUGAAGAAUCUGCAGCAAGAAGAAGAGAAAAAACGUCUGGGUCGAGAAGCUAGUCUGAUCACUGCCAUCCCCAUCACUCAGGAAGCUUGUUAUGAGCCCACCUGUUCCCCAAACUCGGAACAGGAGGAAGAAGUAGAAGAAGUUGUUAACCUGGCAUCUCGUCGUCUCUCUGUGAGUCCAUCAUGCACUUCGAGUACCUCUCACAGGAACUACUCUUUUCGGCGUGGCUCAGUUUGGUCAGUGCGUUCAGCAGUCAGUGCUGAAGAUGAGGAACACACAACAGAGCAUACACCAAAUCAUCAUGUGCCCCAGCCUCCACAAGCGGUCUUCCCGGCUUGUAUCUGUGCAGCUGUGCUUCCCAUUGUUCACCUGAUGGAAGAUGGAGAAGUCCGGGAGGAUGGUGUCGCAGGUAUUGUUUUAGUUUAAAGAUUUCUGGAAUAAUUUGAGAAGGAAAGCAGCCAUUAACCUCUUUUUACAGUAA
rnacentral:lncRNA from 11 species